UGCGCCUCCUUACAGAGUGCAGGAAAAGCAUAUACUCCGGCGGAUUAUGGCGGAGGAGAAGUACAACAGGAAGAACACGGCGGUAAAGCGGAUCCUUCAGGAAAUGAAGGAGAUGCAAUCCAAUGCCUCUGAUGACUUCAUGAGCCCUCCGCUCGAGGUGGUGAUUCCCAAUCCCUGACCGGAACGCUAACCCUCAGUUGCCCUUCUUCUGAGGGAGGGGUAUAUCAUGGGAGAUUCUAAUUACCGGCAGAUUACCCUUUUAAACCUCCUGCGUUCAUGUUGCUAACUCCAAAUGGCCGGUCCAAAACACAAACGAAGAUUUGCUUAAGCAUAUCAAAUCGUCAUCCUCAACACUGACAGCAUCAUGGAGUGUUCGGACAGCCUCAGUAGCCCUAAUUGCUUUCAUGUCAACAAAACCUGAUGGGGCAUUAGGGUCACUAGAAUACACAAAGGAAGAAAGGCAUGUUCUUGCCAUUAGGUCACGGGAAGCAACUCCCAGAUUUGGCACCCGAGUGGCAGAAACUCAUAGAUGAUGUAUACUCUGAUCUCUUUUGAAUUAGAUUUUAUCACUUGAUCUGAUGUUAAUGAUCCUUAUGUUGAUUUAGACUUAGAUUCAUCAGUACAUGCUUAGCAAACCACCAAUUGUUCCUCAGCUGUCAUUGCCAUUAACCAUCAAUGAACAACCAAUUGCUCCAUUGAGUGAGGACCCUCAAACAAAUCCUACUAGUUCAGAAGCUGUAGCACCAGUUGAGCGGCCCCCAGUCCCAGAACCAGAUAGGCCUGUAGAAGAUGUGAGGGAACUUCAUUUAAAUGCCGCAGCUGGCCACAUAAGAAUAAGCUUCAGAGUGAAGAUUUCAAGAAGGGUACCAGCAACAGUCACGAAUGAGCAGCCUCAGAGACGUGAGGCAAGGGUUCAGAUGCCACUCCUAGAUGAAUGCUUGUUCACUUUGGCUGCCAUCGGGUUGGCCACCGGUAUCAUGGUAGUCUUAGUAUAGAAGUUUCUCAAGUCAAAUGGGCAUGCUCAAUACAUGGAUGCAUCAUAGACUUGUAUGUCUUGUGGCACGGCUUGGUCAUGAUAAUAUUUUGCAGUAUAAAAUGUUUGUUUCCUUUUUUUCUGACUUUUGUUUGGUUAACAUUGUUUCUGGCCAUAGAUGGCAUGCAUAUUUUUUUCAUAUUCCACGAGUCAGUGGAUAAUCUUGUUCCCUACCAACUCUGUUCUAAUGAAUGCCCUCAAUGCAUUGUGGUGGUAACAAUGUUGAUGCAAUUUUACAUGGUCUGCUUAAUAUGUGAUGGAUUUUCCAGCUAAUUUUACAGCUUGACAAUCAUAAGUUGAUUGAUGGUUCAAAUUGCUAUUCAGAAUGUUCAGUAAAUUCCAGCCAGCACUGAGAAGAGAAGAUAGCACAUUGCUUUGCUUUCUUUCCCUCCAGUAACACUGAGAGGAUCAAUCUGACUCCGUAAAAAACAUCAUGUAAGUGUUUCAGUAUGAAUUAAUGCAGAGGUCAGCACAAAAAUUAGUCAUUGAGGUAAUUUUCUCUUGCUAAGCCAACCAUUAGAAUUUGUUUUCCAGUACACAUCAUGAGCUAUUGGUAAGUAGUGAUCUUCCCUUUUCUUUACCCUUGUUGGUCUCCUUUGUAAUCAGAUCAGUGUUUCUUUUUAGGUUGAAAGAAACUUUGUGGAUGAAGAAGCCAACUUGCACUCAUUGGCAGAGUCCUCAUUGAGCAAUAAAAGACACCUCCAGAUAGGAGCAGCAAUCAUUCAAGCCACCAAGCAUCAUGAUUUGCUCACAGAGAGCAAUUCAAAGAGUCUCUGAUGCCCGUCACCUUAAUAUUGUCGUUUUCUUGGUUUGCUGCUGACCAUUCUGCAGGUUUCUGCAAGGCUAAGUCUUUUCCUUGUAGCUUUGGCUGACCGUCACUUGUUGAACAGCAAUGACAACAAACAAUCUGCAGUUUGCGUUCUUAGAUCAAUAAAACAAAACAUUCUUAAAGUCCAAAAAUUACUAUGUUGAUUGCUCGUGACAUUAUGUAAUUCACCUGUAUAGUGUCUCCAUUUUUUUGAAGACAAUAACACAGUAUGUUGGUAUGAUACAAAUAAUGUCUAAUCUGGUAGCUCUCUCCAGCACCAGUUGCUCAUGGCCAA